GUUGAUUCCGUUUCUCCCACUGUGAGUCUCUGAUGUCAUUGCUCAGUUUUUCUUUGUAUUUAACUUUAGAUUGGCUUCUUAGGGAGCACCCCUGGUUUAGCAUCUCAUAGUGGUUAGUCACUGGUUGUUCAGAGAUAAUUCUUAAACACGUUGAACCAGUCAAGUUUUUCACCUUUGCUGUCAGAUCUGUUUGUUACUUGGGGAAUUAUUUCAAAGUUCAAGGAGUUUACAAGUCCACUCUGUAUUCAUCUAGGAACUAGUAGCUUGCAAGGGUCCUUUCCAGUAUCUCUGGAGCAGAAAGAGCCUUGCACAUUGGCACAGCCUUCUAGAUGACCAGAGCAGUAAUACUUGCCCUGGCUCAGGGUCAUACUUUCACAUCACAGAAACUGAAGGAUGUGUUGGAGCAUCUCCUUGAAAAAAAUGCUACAGACUUUUGCUGUUCUUACUGACAUUCAACAGCUUCAUUAUUGUCUGUUAAAAGAAGACUUACUAAGCUCCUCACACAGCCAUUCUGGAUGUGCUUAUCCCCAGGUAUAUAUUUGUUAUGAAUAUUUUAUAAUACCAUUUGACACACCCAAGAAACUUCAACAUGUUAACAGUGUAUAUGUGUUAUUUUUGUUAUUUUAAAAAUACAUAUUUAAUAUUUUUGCU
rnacentral:lncRNA from 1 species